CCUACGGGAGGCAGCAGUGGGGAAUAUUGCACAAUGGGGGAAACCCUGAUGCAGCGACGCCGCGUGAGCGAUGAAGUAUUUCGGUAUGUAAAGCUCUAUCAGCAGGGAAGAAGAUGCCGGUACCUGACUAAGAAGCCCCGGCUAACUACGUGCCAGCAGCCGCGGUAAUACGUAGGGGGCAAGCGUUAUCCGGAUUUACUGGGUGUAAAGGGAGCGUAGACGGCGAUGCAAGCCAGAUGUGAAAGCCCGGGGCUCAACCCCGGGACUGCAGUUGAAACUGUGUGGCUGGAGUGUCGGAGAGGCAUGCGGAAUGCCUAGUGUAGCGGUGAAAUGCGUAGAUAUUAGGAGGAACACCAGUGGCGAAGGCGGCCUGCUGGACGAUGACUGACGUUGAGGCACGAAAGCGUGGGGAGCGAACAGGAUUAGAUACCCCAGUAGUC
rnacentral:rRNA from 1 species